UACGUAGGGUGCAAGCGUUAAUCGGAAUUACUGGGCGUAAAGCGCACGCAGGCGGCUUUGCAAGACAGAUGUGAAAUCCCCGGGCUCAACCUGGGAACUGCAUUUGUGACUGCAAGGCUAGAGUACGGCAGAGGGGGAUGGAAUUCCGCGUGUAGCAGUGAAAUGCGUAGAUAUGCGGAGGAACACCAAUGGCGAAGGCAAUCCCCUGGGCCUGUACUGACGCUCAUGCACGAAAGCGUGGGGAGCAAACAGG
rnacentral:rRNA from 1 species